CGCGAACGGGUGAGUAACACGUGGGUAAUCUGCCCCGAUGACCGGGACAACCCGAGGAAACUCGGGCUAAUACCGGAUGUGGUGCACAGGCGUAAGCCUGUUCACUAAAGGAAGCUUCGGCCUCCGCAUUGGGAGGAGCCCGCGGCCAUUAGCUUGUUGGUGGGGUAACGGCCUACCAAGGCAACGAUGGGUAGCUGGUCUGAGAGGACGAUCAGCCACACUGGGACUGAGACACGGCCCAGACUCCUACGGGAGGCAGCAGUGGGGAAUCUUGCGCAAUGCGCGAAAGCGUGACGCAGCAACGCCGCGUGGGGGAAGACGGCCUUCGGGUUGUAAACCCCUUUCAGGAGGGACGAAGGCUCACCGGUUAAUAGCCGUGUGGGUUGACGGUACCUCCACAAGAAGCUCCCGGCUAACUACGUGCCAGCCGCCGCGG
rnacentral:rRNA from 1 species